GACGAACGCUGGCGGCGUGCUUAACACAUGCAAGUCGAACGGUGAAGCGCCUUCCUUUUUGGUGGGUGGGGAUGAGUGGCCAACGGGUUAGUAACACGUGAGUAACCUUCUCCCUUCUGCUGGAUAACCGCAUGAAAGUGUUGCUAAUACGUGAUAUUCUGGGUCUUUCGCACGAUUGGUCUGGGAAAGAUUUUGUUUCGGUGGGGGAUGGGCUCGCGGCCUAUCAGCUUGUUGGUGGGGUGAUGGCCUACCAAGGCGGUGAGGGGUAGCCGGCCUGAGAGGGUGGACGGUCAUAGAGCGACGGCGAGAUGGAGACGACUACUACGGGAGGCAGUAGUGGGGCAUCUUGCACAGUGGGAGGAAGGAUGAUGCAGCGCCGCGGCGUGAGGGAUGGACGCCUUAGGGUUGUGAACCUCUUUCGCGAGUGAAGAAGGCCUGCCUUGUCUGUGCGUGGGUUGACGGUAGCUGGACAAGAAGCGACGGCUAACUACGUG
rnacentral:rRNA from 1 species